rnacentral:lncRNA from 1 species
UUUAUAACUUUACCAAUGUGAAUAUGAGAACUUGUUACUCAUAUUAGCCAGUUUGUAUGUUUUCUUUAAUUCUAUAAUAACUUUUGAAUAGUCUAAGUUUCAGCUCUUCUACCAUCAUGAUAUAGUAAACUUUAUUUGUCUUUAAAAAAUAGAUCUUUUGAUUAUAUAUAAAUCACUAAAGCAUGACAAUUGCUGCCUUCUAGAGGAGAAUAUAAAAGUUAUGAUAAAAGAAUAAAGUUCCCAAUUUACUGGAUACCUCAUUUUUUAUAGUCAAAUUGGUCACAUUGAAAAGGAAGUGAUAACACUUCAUGUUAGAACAUAUACACUUCUUUUACUUUAUCCCUCUAAAGUUAUACCAUUAUAUCAAAUACAUGCCCUAACUUUAUUCACUUUUAGUGGAUUCUACUUAAGUUAGAAAAGAGCUAGAAAAGACCUAAAAUCAGCCCUUAUUUCUUACUGUUUUUCUGCAGUUUCACAAGAACAAUGGCAGCAGAAAGAAUUAUCUUGGCUUGCUGCUGUGCUCCUUAGAGCAUGGCAAAACCCAGUCAGAGAUUAAACUGGCAACUGUCCAUCUGGAGUGGAUUAAAUAGUCAAAGAAUUUUGAUCA